CUUAGUGGCGGACGGGUGAGUAACGCGUGAGGAACCUGCCUUACAGAGGGGGACAACAGUUGGAAACGGCUGCUAAUACCGCAUAAAGUAUUCGGAAGGCAUCUUUUGAAUACCAAAGGAGCAAUCCGCUGUAAGAUGGCCUCGCGUCCGAUUAGAUAGUUGGUGAGGUAACGGCUCACCAAGUCGACGAUCGGUAGCCGACCUGAGAGGGUGAUCGGCCACACUGGAACUGAGACACGGUCCAGACUCCUACGGGAGGCAGCAGUGGGGAAUAUUGGGCAAUGGGGGAAACCCUGACCCAGCAACGCCGCGUGAGGGAUGAAGGCCUUCGGGUUGUAAACCUCUGUCCUCAGGGACGAAACAAAUGACGGUACCUGAGGAGGAAGCUCCGGCUAACUACGUGCCUGCAGCCGCGGUAAUACGUAGGGAGCAAGCGUUGUCCGGAAUUACUGGGUGUAAAGGGCGAGUAGGCGGCCCUGCAAGUCAGAUGUGAAAUACUGAAGCUCAACUUCAGAACUGCAUUUGAAACUGUAGGGCUUGAGUGAUGGAGAGGCAGGCGGAAUUCCCGGUGUAGCGGUGGAAUGCGUAGAUAUCGGGAGGAACACCAGUGGCGAAGGCGGCCUGCUGGACAUUAACUGACGCUGAGGAGCGAAAGCGUGGGGAGCAAACAGGAUUAGAUACCCUGGUAGUCCACGCCGUAAACGAUGACUACUAGGUGUCGGGUCGCAAAGCGAUUCGGUUCCGCAGUUAACACAAUAGUAGUCCCCCUGGGGAGUACUUUCGCAAAGAAUGAAAUUCAAAGGAAUUUGACGGGGAACCCCCACAAGCGGUUGGAGCAUGUGGUUUAUUUCGAAAGCAACGCGAAGAACCUUACCUGGUCUUGACAUCCCGCUGACCGUUCUUUAAACAGGGAAACUUCCCUUCGGGGCAGCGGUGACAGGUGGUGCAUGGUUGUCGUCAGCUCGUGUCGUGAGAUGUUGGGUUAAGUCCCGCAACGAGCGCAACCCUUAUCUUUAGUAGCCAGCGGUUCGGCCGGGCACUCUAGAGAGACUGCCAGGGAUAACCUGGAGGAAGGUGGGGAUGACGUCAAAUCAUCAUGCCCUUUAUGACCUGGGCUACACACGUACUACAAUGGCCGUUAACAGAGGGAAGCAAUACCGCGAGGUGGAGCAAAACCCUAAAAACGGUCCCAGUUCAGAUUGUAGGCUGCAACUCGCCUAUAUGAAGUUGGAAUUGCUAGUAAUCGCGGAUCAGCAUGCCGCGGUGAAUACGUUCCCGGGCCUUGCACACACCGCCCGUCA
rnacentral:rRNA from 1 species